rnacentral:rRNA from 1 species
UACGACUACAUAUCAGGCAUAUCAAUAAGCGGAGGAAAAGAAACUGACAAGGAUUCCCUUAGUAACGGCGAGUGAAGCGGGAAGAGCUCAAAUUUGAAAUCUUCAAGGUUUUACCUUGACGAAUUGUAGUUUAAAGAAGUGUUUUCUGUUGAAGUUUUGGUAAAAGUUCUUUGGAAUAGGACAUCAUAGAGGGUGAGAAUCCCGUAUUUGACCAUUAUUUCCAGCUGUGUGAUACACUUUCAAAGAGUCGGAUUGUUUGGGAAUGCAGUCCAAAAUGGGUGGUAAAUUUCAUCUAAAGCUAAAUAUUGGCGAGAGACCGAUAGCGAACAAGUACCGUGAGGGAAAGAUGAAAAGAACUUUGAAAAGAGAGUUAAACAGUACGUGAAAUUGUCAAAAGGGAAGCGUUUGACACCAGUGUUGUUUCUCUCGAAAAUCAAUUAAAAAAGGCAGGGAUUUUGUGUUGUAUUGACUUUAUCAGCUUUCUGCACUCUUUUCUUGUCUUUUUUUAAUGCACUUUUCGUUUAACAAGUCAACAUCAAUUUCUUUUGUUGUAAAAGGGUCAUUGGAAGGUGGCUUUCUCUUUCGGAGAAAGUGUUUAUAGCCUUUGAUCUCUGCAAUCGGAGAGACUGAGGGUCUGCAGCGUAGAUCCUUCGGGGUUAGAUACAUUUGUGCUAAGCUACAGCUUUUCAUAGACAACUUGUUGACUAUGUUUAGUCUUGUAGACUUACCCGCUUAUGCUAUUUUACCUACGCUUAGGAUGUUGAGCGCAUGUCUCUCUCU